UAUUUUUGUCAAUACUCAUUUUCACACUUUAUUAUGGUCCAUGCUAGACGCACAGAACAGGAAAAUCCAAAGAAGUCAAUGCUGACAUUAAAGGGUACCAUCUAAAGCCACUCAGAUAGUUAAAGAAACCCUUACAUAACACAGCUCUAAACCACCUUGCACAGACUAUGCAAAAAAGGUUCAAGUCAAAGGCAGCCUGCAAUGCAGUAAUUGUAAAAUCCACAGAAGUCAGUGGAAAAACAUUAAUAGGCCUCUGUAAGAAUACCAAGGCUUCACAUUUACACUAUUAUCACCAUCUUCAAGUGGAAAUUAUGCCAAGAACAAUACAGGUUCUUAGAAAUCACCCUAAUGUUAAUGUCUUGCACAUCCUUCCAGCACAGAGAAUUCUAUAUUAACAUUUACUUAAUACUAAUUGCUAAUAGACUGUAUUCCCUUACAAAGUAAUCUUGGAGACAGAACCUGCCUUCUUUCAAAACAAGCAGACAGAGCAAGACUUGUUUUCUUUGAAUAGAUUGCCAUGCCAUGCCCCUUGUAGCUUGCCUCGAUACAUCUGGUGUGUUUAUUAAUCUAAAACUUUUCCAACGUGUUUAAAAACUCUACCAUAGUAUUUUGAUAGUAGCCUCACAGAUUCACAUUUGCACUCACUGCAUAUGCAGUGCAUAACAGAAAUCAGUCAAAACUCAUGACAGCUUGCCACAGUUUCAGGGACUGAAUUCUGACAAGUGACUUUGGAUUUACCCCAGAAGCUGCCAAAUCUGGAGAAAUUAAAAAUUUACAAUUUACCUCAAAUGUGUGGAUAUUUUACCCUCUUUGAGUUGCACCUAUGAAUGGAGUGGAAUCUAUUUUCUCAGUGUAGUGAUACAUUUCUAAAGCACAAAGGGGAACUCCAGAGGCAUGUAAAGUGUGGUAAUUUCAAUUAAGCUCAUGAAACUAUGAGAAAUUAUGCCAAAGGGUUUGUCUGUGCUGGCUCAAAGCUUGCUGCUGAAGAUGAUAUAUAUUUGCUAACCUAAGAAUGCAUUUUCCACUGUCCAGCAGCUAGUUAAGAAGAUUAAUGACUGCUUUGUAGUUUCAAUUAAACUCCUUUAUCACCAAGAGGGACCAAACAAGUUUUGAUUUCAAAAGUACUGCUUAAGAAAGAAGACCAGGGCUGCAUAACACUGACAUUUUAUUAGAAUUCAUCUGUAACAAAUGGAACUUGUGUCAGCAAAGAACUGAUUUUCAUACAGACUUCCUUUUGCCACCAAUGUAACGAAGUAAGAAAAUAAAAAGCACGCCUUUCAUUCUGUAAAACAUUUACGCGUACUACUAAUUAGAGGUAAUUGUAUCUUUUUUAACAAGCCAUUUUACAAGGUAAAUUUUUAAAGUUUUUCAGUCUAUGCAUCCAAAACAAGAGCAAAGAACACAAGUUUUUAUUAUCUUUGUAAAGACACUCCAAGCUUGAAUGGCAAAGCCACAUAACGGAUGGUUAUAAUGAGACCUGCAGCCUUCUGAUAUCUGUGGAGUAUCAGGGCACCAAGGGAAAAAAAAAAAAAAAAAAAAAGAAGAAAAAGAAACAUAAAUAAAAAUGGGAGAGAACAAAAGGAAAAAAAAGCAGCUGCUUUUUCUUUACAUGUUCUGUGUCUUUUAAAUACAUACAAGUGGAUUUUGUAGGCAAUUUCUUACAGAUGGGUUCAAAUUAUUAUUGGGUGUAGAAUCAAUAGGGCAGUGCAUAGUACAAAGGUAUAUAUAGAAAGUGCAAAUCUCCUUAGAAGGUCACUCCUUUCCCCAGCCAUCUUCUCCACUAUCUAACCACUCAAAUAAAUUUUUUAAAAAGAGCUAAAUUAAAGUUUUGUAUAAAUCAUUUUUUAUAUAUUUUGUGGGUUUUUUUUCCCAUUGCAACUAAUUACAAAAUUAGACAUAACUACACAUAGAAACAUAAAUAAUAGCACCGUACUGGUUAUGCUGAUGAAACCAAUUUUAAGCUUGGAAAUGUAUGAUGUAUGUAGACAAAGAUGCUCACAAUUUAAAUUAAAUGUAGAUGCAUAUAUUAGAAUACAGAAAGUGGAAUGCACAUCAAUGAUGCUAAGACCUAUCAUAAGAAACAAAACCCUGAAAGAAGUACUCAGUUGUACAACACUUUUUCUCACAAACUGGCUCUGCUUUUGUAUUUCUUUAAUUCCCUUAUUUUUGUUGGAGUUUUCAAGACAGUCUGCUAUGGAAAAUGCACUGAUCUUUGUACAGAUUCAGUGUGCAGGAACAUACCUUAGUCUAUGUUUUCAAAAUGACACUUUGUUUUCUUUUUCUAUUUCUGAUUUCCUGUAUUUAAGUUGAAGAACAUGACCACACUACAUAACCUGGCAUUUCAAUAAUUAUUUCAACAUAUAAACCAAGAAAGAAGAAAAGAAACAAACACAGUGCACAUUCUUCUCUGGUUCAGAUGUAAGUUAUAGAAUCUCAUUCUGAGGUAGCCUUCUAUAAUACUUCUAUUCCAUAUAUAUAUAUAUAUAUAUAUAUAUAUAUAUAUAUAUAUAUAUAGUUAUAGUUAUAGUUAUAGUUACAGUUAUAGUUAUAGUUAUAUUUCUGUUUUGAUUUUUUUGGUUUGGGUUUUUUUUCAUUAUAAAAGUGCUCAAAUACAAUUGCUGGAGUUUGGUCUUUCUUAUUUUUAUUUCUCAUAGGAGUGGGAAAAUUGGAAGAAGAACUAAAAAUGUUGAGGCCACAUGGAGAAGCCACAGCAAUGCUCCUAUUUGAAACCCCAAAGAAAGCAUCCUUUGAUCCUGAUGUACUAACAAUGGCAGAACACAUGGUGACCAAGGUCAAUGUAAAUGGCAUUCUAGAAAGAGUCUCAAAAAGUACUUUGUGCUGUUUAGAGAAUUUUCAUUUUUCCUGGAAUAAAAUCUGUCAAUCUCCAAUAUGUCAUGUGGGCUCAUUCUUGCUAGCCUUGCAUAAACCUAUGAACCUUCCCACUGAGAGCAAGGGUUUGACUUUAGCAAUCUGUUGACACAAGUGAAUGAGCAGGACUUGGCCAGAUAUAAAUUAAAAAAAAAAAAAAAAAAAAAAAAAAGA
rnacentral:lncRNA from 1 species